CCCCAGCGCCACAAGUGGGAGCCACAAUUAUUUGGCCUAAAGCGUCCGUAGCUGGUUAUGUAAAUCUUUUGUGAAAUCGGAAGGCUCAACUUUCCGGCGUGCAGAAGACACUGCAUAGCUCGAGAUUGGGAGGGGUAAGGAGUAUUCCUAGGGAACCGGUAAAAUGGGAUAAUCCUAGGAGGACUACCUGUGGCGAAGGCGCCUUACCAGAACAAGUCUGACAGUGAGGGACGAAGGCUAGGGGA
rnacentral:rRNA from 1 species